GAUCAUCGAAUCUUUGAACGCACCUUGCGCCCUUUGGCUAUUCCGAAGGGCAUGCCUGUUUGAGUAUCGUGAACACCUCAACUCUCACGGUUUGUCGUGAUGAGCUUGGACUUUGGAGGUUUUGCUGGCCCACGGUCUGCUCCUCUCAAAUGAAUCAGCUUACCGGUGUAUGGUGGCGCCCCAGGUGUGAUAACUAUCUGCGCUUGUGGUCGUACGCCAGAUAACCUUCAGCAAUGGAGGUUUGCUGGGGCUCAUAAAUGUCUCUCCUCGGUGAAGACAGCUUUUUAACGUUUGAUCUCAAAUCAGGUAGGACUACCCGCUGAACUUAA
rnacentral:rRNA from 1 species